GCCCGCCUGGAUGGUGCGGUCGAGGGCACUGACGAUGCCCUGGGUCACCGUGUUGUUCAGGGCGAGCGGCGAGCC
rnacentral:tRNA from 1 species